rnacentral:rRNA from 1 species
UACGGAGGGUGCAAGCGUUAAUCGGAAUUACUGGGCGUAAAGCGUACGCAGGCGGUUUUGUAAGUCAGAUGUGAAAUCCCCGGGCUCAACCUGGGAACUGCAUUUGAUACUGCGUAGCUUGAGUCGCGUAGAGGGGGAUGGAAUUCCACGUGUAGCGGUGAAAUGCGUAGAGAUGUGGAGGAAUACCGAUGGCGAAGGCAGUCCCCUGGAC